ensembl:lncRNA
GAGAAAUCAGGAAGGGGACUGACAGCUCCUGUUUUAAUAAGGUGAUGCCCCUUGGAACGCUCUUGGCAGUUGGCUUCAUUUACAGGCAUGUCUUCCUUCUGUAAAGCCUUCCAUCUUGUAUCCACCAAAGUGGGGAAAACGUGAUGUUGAAAUACAGUUGAAGCAAAGCAGCAGCUGAACCUCUGCAUUUGUUCUGCACUGAUGGGUGAGGGGCUGCUCUGUGUAGUCAUUCAGCAUCAGGAAUUGCCAUUGUUCGCUUGCUUUCUGAGGAGAGAAUUACUUCUUCAAAGGGAUACUCAGUGCCCAGAAGAGGAGGAGGACAGUCUCUGGGAGAGACAUUUUACUGCUGCUGCAGUUCAAGAUGGAAUGGCAGCAAGCAGACUGCUUGCUGCAGUAGAAGUCCUGCAUAAACCUCUGAGGCAGCUCAGAACACCAUGUGCAAGAAUCCAGGUGCCCAUCUGUAACCCUCGACACCUACAUGUUUUAAAAGCAUGACUCAAGUGUCUUCUGGGAGGAGGAUUUAGGCCCUUGGUCACUGCUGUAUACCCUGAACUUUGCAGUGCUCUGGCUUGGUGCAGGGAUGAGCAAUCACAUGCGCUCUGUAAGGAACUGUUGCUCUUUGGUAAUAUUUCUUCAGGUUAAGCAUGACAAUCUCUCAUCAUUGGUGUAUAUGAUGUGAAGAGCCUCUUUCUCCAUCAUUUCAGAUUAUCUUGUUAGUGGGAUGUAUGUUACAUCAAUUUUGUGUGCCUAAUAAUUUCUACAUUGGAGAAGGUGACUGCUUACAGACAUUUGCUAUCCAAUUUAAUUGCAUUCUUAUUUAACGUUGUUGAUGUCUCAGGUGACUGCUCCAUGGGAGCAUAGGAGAUGUUUCACCUCUUUGUCUAUGUGUGUUUACUGCUUGUACUGCUGAAAAUCCCAUUCAGACUGGUGAUUAAAGGAGUCCAACUAAAUGUCAUCUAAAG